CAAUAGCGUAUAUUUAAGUUGCUGCAGUUAAAAAGCUCGUAGUUGGAUUUCGGGUGGGAAUGGCCGGUCCGCCGUUUCGGUGUGCACUUGCUACGCCCACCUUGCUGCCGGGGACGUGCUCUUGAGUUGACGCUCGGGACACGGAGUCGGCGAGGUUACUUUGAGUAAAUUAGAGUGUUCAAAGCAGGCCUACGCUCUGAAUACAUUAGCAUGGAAUAACACGAUAGGACUCUGGCCUAUCUUGUUGGUCUGUAGGACCGGAGUAAUGAUUAAGAGGGACAGUCGGGGGCAUUCGUAUUUCAUUGUCAGAGGUGAAAUUCUUGGAUUUAUGAAAGACGAACUACUGCGAAAGCAUUUGCCAAGGAUGUUUUCAUUAA
rnacentral:rRNA from 1 species